rnacentral:rRNA from 1 species
ACGUAGGGUCCAAGCGUUAUCCGGAAUCACUGGGCGUAAAGCGUGCGUAGGUGGCGCGUUAAGUGAGAUGUUAAAUCGUGUGGCUCAACCAUAUCGUUGCAUCUCAUACUGGCGUGCUAGAGGACAGCAGAGGCAAGUGGAAUUUGUAGUGUAGCAGUGAAAUGCGUAGAUAUUACAAGGAACACCAAUGGCGAAGGCAGCUUGCUGGGCUACUCCUGACACUGAGGUACGAAAGCGUGGGGAGCGAACAGGA